UUGUAGUCUUUUCCGUCCCUGAUUCCCUCACAUAUUCAUAUUGUACAACACUUUUUAUAUAUCUUCAUUCAUUCCUCCCUUACUCAAUCUUUCCAUCUCUUUCUUUUUAGGGUUUUUGCCCAGAUAGAUGGUCAUGGAUGGGCGAUGGAAGGCUGCGGAUUACGGUGUAUUGAAUUUAAACGACUUAAAGUUUAACGGAUCACCCAAUAUUAUAUCUGAUCAGAGGUUUUUAAAUGCCAUGAAUCUUAAUGAAACGUUUUUAGAUCGGAAUACUGUGAAUCAUGAUCAUAUUCUUCAGGAACGGCCUGAUCCGAGCUUUAGUCUGUCGUCUAGCUCGAAUCUUAAUGAGGAGUUUGACCUUAGUGAUGUGGUUUUCAAGUAUAUAAAUCAGAUGCUUAUGGAAGAAGAUAUAGGGGAAAAGACUUGUAUGCUUCACGGGUCUGCGGCUCUUGAAGCUGCUGAGAAAUCUUUUUAUGAUGCUCUUAUGGUAAAUGAGCCUCCUUUUUGUAGUUCACAUCCUACGGUACCUUUGUAUGAUAAUGAUGGUGGAAAUGAGAUUACUGCAAGGGGUUAUAGUUGUUUUGAUGCUAAUGGUUUUGGAAAUGGUACUAGUCUUAGUUGUGAUGUUAGUGAUUACGACUCUCAUUUAGUACCCAGCGUUUCCGUAAAUCUUGAUUCGCAGUCUGUAUCUCGGUCGUCUAACGGCUCAUCGAGCGGUAACAGUUGUGUUAUAGAUUGUUUUGCGGAUUCACCUGUGAGUGUUCAAAGUGUAUCUGUUACGCAGUAUCAAAAAGGUGUUGGAGAAUCAAGCAGGUUUCCUCUUAGUAGUGGUAAGAACUUAGAUCAACUCGGAACUGUAGAGGCUGAUUCUGUAGUUAUCAAGGCCGAGAAAAAACAUGAAGUUAACUCCAUUGCAGAAGAAUCAAGAGGAAAGAAAAACCCCUAUUCUAAAGAUCUUGUUGAAGAUGGGAGGAUUUCCAAGCAGUUUGCAGUCUAUACCGAGCCUACUGUGAGGUCCAAGAUGUUUGAUGAUGUGCUGCUUUGUGCUGGACAAAAAAAUCUUCCUCAAGGUAAUUUUAUCCACAAUGGGGUCAGUAGAGCACAACCAAAGUCUAAUACGGGUAAGGGCCGUGGUAAGAAAGGUGUAAGAAAGGAUGUGGUCGAUUUGAGGACACUCUUGAGUCUCUGUGCACAAGCUGUUGCAGCUAACGACCAAAGGAGUGGACUCGAUCUAUUGAAACAGAUACGAGAACAUGCUUCACCCACAGGUGAUGGGAUGCAACGAUUGGCCUAUUAUUUCUCUGCUGGUCUUGAAGCACGAAUGGCUGGUUCAGGAACUGAAAUAUACAAAGCCCAUAUUUCCAAGCCUAUGUCGGCCGCCGAUGUGUUGAAAGCUUACCAUUUAUAUCUCAGUUGCUGCCCUUUCAUGAAGAUUUCAAAUUUUUUCUCUAAUAAGACUAUUAUGCAUCUAGCAGAGAACAAGAAGAAGCUACAUAUAAUAGAUAUUGGUAUUCUUUAUGGCUUUCAAUGGCCUUGCUUCAUACAACGUCUGUCAAAAAGGCCUGGUGGUCCACCAGAGCUACGAAUUACUGGCAUUGACUUUCCCUGUCCUGGUUUUAGGCCUUCCGAGAGGGUUAAGGAGACAGGGCGUAGGCUAGCAAACUAUGCAGAAACUUUUAAUGUUCCCUUCAAGUUCAAAGCUAUCGCGCAAAAGUGGGAAACAGUCACACUCGAGGAUCUUGAGCUUGAUAGUGAUGAAACCUUAGUUGUGAAUUGUGCAUAUAGGUUUAAAUACUUGCUUGACGAGACAGUCAUGGUGGAUAGUCCAAGGAAUAAAGUUUUAAACCUUAUUAGGAGAAUGAAACCUGAUAUGUUUAUACAGGGUGUUAUUAAUGGCUCCUACAAUGCCCCUUUCUUUAUCACCAGGUUCAGAGAGGCUCUGUUUUUCUUCUCAUCCGUGUUUGAUAUGAUUGAGGCUAAUGUGACCCGUGAGUCUCAAGAUAGGAUGCUGCUUGAGGAAAACUUAUGGGGACGAGAAGCAAUGAAUGUCAUUGCUUGUGAAGGCUCCGAGAGGAUUGAGAGACCCGAAACGUAUAAGCAGUGGCAGGUUCGUAAUUUGCGGGCUGGAUUUUGCCAACUCCCACUUAAUCAAGAAAUUUUGAAAAUGGCUAAAGAUAGAGCAAAAGCAUGCUACCACCAAGACUUUGGAAUUGAUGAAGAUGGUCAUUGGAUGUUGCAAGGAUGGAAAGGUCGCAUUAUAUAUGCAUUAUCUGCUUGGAAGCCACUUACUAAAGAAAGUUAUUAUCUGGGCAAUGGUGGAAUGCAUUCUACGUCAUGAUUUUGAAUAUGUCAAGAAGUCAUGAUUUUAGAAUGCUAUGUAAGAAGGAAGUCAGCUGCUCCUGAGUGUCCUACUGGCAAUACUGAAUUUGUUGGAACUUUGACAAAUGAAGCAUCCAUGUUUGUGCCUCAAGGACAGCCUUCCUAAGCUUUUGUGGAAACUUCCUUUUCCCUCGUCUGCGUGUAUGUGUGUCAAAUGUGCUUCUACAGUUCUACCCUUUAAUCUAAUGGGGUGUGGUUUUAGGUGGAUACUUUUGUAUAUGGGAAGUCAAUAUUGAAAUACUUGACAUUUCCGCCAAGUGUGUUCGCGAAGUUUUUUGAAAGGCAGACCAGAUAAAUGGCUAACACCCCCAGUUUUUGAUGCACUUACACCAGGUUCGAAUCUUGGCAAUGUCUUAAAGGGUUUGUUCUCUCAUGUGUAGAUGGGUAUAACAUUGCUAAGGCCCCUCACCACAUUUGCAUGUGUCAAGAUUUGAACCCAUGACCCUUAGGAAGAAACCACAAAGUGGAAAACUCCCUAACCACUAGGCUAUCACCCAUUCACCCUAAUGGCUUGUUUCGCGAAGGGCUUAUAAGUUAGCGCUCCAGCUAAUUGUUUCUAAGCUUCAACAAAACACUUAUUUUGUGAUACAUCUUACGGAUGAAAGGUAGAGUAGCAAAGUUUGAAAGUCUCAAAAAUCGAUUUCUGUUUAGUGUGCUUAAUUAAUUCUACUUAGAGAGGCAUAAUUCAGUUUUCCCAAAGAAACAUUUAAAAGUGAAAUGACACGAUUCAAUUAUGUAAGUAUACAUAUAUAUACAUAUACAAUAUAUAUAGAUGCACAUUUAAAGGUCCAUACGGAAUAAUUGGUUGAAGGUAAACAGCCUGGAUAAUUCAUUAGAAUCCAUUCUGAGAUGAUGCGAUAACUUAAGCUAUUCGAGAAGUAUUCGCAAUAGAGUAGAAGCGUUUUGGCGGUGACACAUUUGGAAAGUCGGGAAUAAUUAGGUUCAUAAUGGAUCGAAAGAAAAUAAAUAUUCUAUUUUCAGCUCGAUUAUGUCAUCUUCCUUUUUUUUGAUCAACUACUGGGACAAGAAAAAUUGGAUGUCGAGGAAUGAAUGGGUUGUGAACCUUCUGCCAGGUUGAUUGCGGCUAAAAUGUUGUCUUUUGUCGUUUUUCUUGCCUUAGAACUUGUAUAUGGUUGCAACAAAAACAUCACACUGUGUAAACCGGGAGCUCGAACUUCGUUGAUGGGGUUUUUUCUUAUAUCUUAGUUAAAGCGUAAUUGACACAAGUUUUUUUCCAA